CGCCUCGCCCGCAGGCUUAGGUGGAGCGGCUGCAGAUGGCGGGAAGUCUCUGCUAGCCCAGUGGACCAGCUCUGCUUCUUCCAGGGGAUGAGCACAGGGCACCGAGCUCUUAUGCUUAGACGUUAUAGACAGGAAAAAAAAAAAAGCAUCGGUCUUAUAUGCAGAUAAUACUAAAAAUAGCCAGAGGCUUUAGAGUUUGUAGGUCUGUUUUGAUCUAGCCUUCAUAUUUUUGAGGUGCUGCCUUGCUGGCAGCUUUUCAUGUUUCUCUGAGUUGUGUCAAGAGGAACCUAAGUAGAACAUAAAUGUAGUCUUCUGUGAGGGAAGUCAGGCUGAACAGUCUGGGGAAAAAAAAGAGGAAAUAAAAAAGAACUGCAUAAAUGGCAGGUUGUGAUAUGCCAGAUGGGCUGCUUUGCCAGGGUCAGUUUUGAGCUAGGGUAAAAUGAUGGUAUGAGAUUGCAGAGGCAUUGUAAGCAGGAGUCGUUCAGUGGAAAUGAAGUGAUGCCUGUUAGCAAGAGGAGAAUUCACUGUCAUCUUUGAUUCCUACAGAAGUAGGGAGGUCAUGAAAAAUUGUACAAUGCAAUGGAGACAUAACAUGCUUUGCAUGCAGAGGUGUUCUGACGGUUGAGACAGAGAACAGAAAUCAUGUCAACUAGCACCAUGCAAUGGAACAUGGGAGGGACUGAUGGCAAACAAAGAAAAUAGACAUACAAAAGAAGGGAAGGAAUGUGUGUGCUGAAGAACUUCUGGGAUAGAGACCUCCUGCGUCGCUGAAAACAUUGACUGAAAGCUGAGCUGACAACUUGUGGUCUCAUCUUCAGGACUGUUACUUUUGUGGGAUUUUAGAAAAUCCUUAGCUGAGGAACUGUAACCACCUGUUGCUUUUCACUUUUGAACUUUGGAAUUUGUUUGGACUCUUCUCCUCUGUGCAGAUUGCCAUGCAUUCAGCAUCACUUCUUUGUUAUCAGAUAGCCCAAAUGAAAUUUUCUUCUUGAGGCUUCCAAUCAUGGCAGAGUUCAAGAUAUUCAAGGCCAGGUUGUAUGGGGCCCUGGGGAACCUGGGCAGCCUUAUCUUCUGCCUGAUUCUGUGAUUUCCAGUGGGGGAAAAAAAAAUCACAGCUUUUGCAUUUUAAAAAUAGUCAGACCUCUGUUCUUCAUCCCAGUUUAAUGGCCAUAGGGAAUCUAGAAGAGCUUUCUUCAACCCAUCCCAAAAAUAAAUGAAUAAAUAAGAAAGUAAAUAAAUAAAAUAAUAAUCUAACAGGCAGCAGAUGUUUGAACUUGUUUCAGCUGCAAUUAAAACAGUCUUUGUGCUACAGAAUCUGUUUUAAAACUUUGCAUAGUCCCACCAUUUCUGAGUCUGCUCAUGCAUUAGGGCUGGACGUGCACUUCCUCUUCUUCUUAGGCCCCCUUCCUGAACUCUCCUCUGUUUUAUAUAAAAGAACUUCAGUGAAUGUGCCUGGUUAGUUCUUCUUUGCUUCACCAAAGCAUCAGAUUCUACCAGCUGGUCUUUGCUUUUAUUAUGUUUGGGUUUUUUUGUUUUGCAAUUUCCCUGCUAAGUAACUUCUCAGCAAGUCUACCAAAACAAAUCAAAUGUGAAAGUUCUGCAUCAAGUCAGAGCAGUAAUUCCUCUGAGUAGUCAGAAAUAAUGUAUUAUUGUCACACUAUUAUAACUAUGAGCUGUUUUGAACUAUAUUUGCACCAGCACAGUUGCUUUUUGAUACAGAACUAUUUUCAAUCUUUUUUUGGAAUGCCUGUAUGUGUUAGUUUUUAAUUUUGAUUACUAUAAACAAAGCAGGGGACAAGAAAUUGACAAAGUGUUCAACAAGA